rnacentral:rRNA from 1 species
CACCGCCCGUCACAUCACGAAAGUGGAUUGUACUAGAAGUCUGCACGCCAACCCGCAAGGGGGGUAGCGGCCCAAGGUAUGAUUCAUGAUUGGGGUG